GAUGAAGAACGUAGCGAAAUGCGAUAAGUAAUGUGAAUUGCAGAAUUCAGUGAAUCAUCGAAUCUUUGAACGCACCUUGCGCCCUUUGGCCAUUCCGAAGGGCAUGCCUGUUUGAGUAUCAUGAACACCUCAACUCUUUAUGGUUUUCCAUGAUGAGCUUGGACUCUGGGGGUUUUGCUGGCUCACAGUCGGCUCCUCUAAAAUGAUUCAGCUUACCAGUGUUUGGUGGGUAUCAUGGGUGUGAUAACUAUCUACGCUUGUGGUUUUUCCACCAGGUAACCUUCAGCAGUGGAGGUUCGCUGGAGCUCAUAGAUGUCUCUCCUCAGUGAGGACAGCCCUUGGAAUGUUUGAUCUCAAAUCAGGUAGGACUACCCGCUGAACUUAAGCAUAUCAAUAAGCGGAGGA
rnacentral:misc_RNA from 1 species